UUUCCACAUUAACUCAAGAAGAUCGUUUAACGGGGAACAAAAGAUCAAGAAAGAAUUUGCCUAUAUCUCUCCUCCUUCUCCUCUUCUUUUUUCUUUUUAAUUACCAAAGUCACAUUCUUGAUAAUCAGCAGGGUGAAAGACCUGAGCACCUAGCAUGGCUCUUAAUCGUUAAGAUGUCUAUUUCUGUGGAGGCCCACAUUUUCAUUCAAGGUCGGAAGAGAGAAGGAGAGUAACAAGCUUCUCAGAAGCCUCUGGCAAGUGUUCUCUUACAUUACUAUGAUUUCACUGAUAUAAAAUAUGUCAUAUGACUAUCCUACCUGUAAAGAAGUUCACAAAAGCACAUCUGAAUGCUCUGCUUACUUGAAGAACCACUCUUGUAUCCACAAUAUGCUUGAUAUCUCACACCUGGCUGCUUUCCAAAUGGCAGACUGGUUUUAAAACUUUCAGCAAAAUUUGGUUAAAUGGUCCACUGUGUGUUGAUAUAAUAAU